rnacentral:pre_miRNA from 1 species
AACAAAUCAACUUUUCAGUUUUUAAAUACAAUGUUUAACUCUUCGUUUUACUCAAAUUUUUUAUGAUUAAUAAUUUUAUUUUUAUUAGAUGAUAAAACAUGAAUAGUACUUUAUGGGUGACUAUUUUUUUAAAAUUUCUUAAAAAUUUUUCAAAUAAGACGGAUGGUCAAAUGCUCUACACAAAAACC